rnacentral:tRNA from 1 species
CGGGGCGUAGCGCAGCCCGGUUAGCGCGCGUCGUUCGGGGCGACGAGGUCGAUGGUUCGAAUCCAUUCGCCCCGA